UGAGCGAAGUUCAGCAUGGGUGUGAACCCAUAGACACAUGUAGUCAUAUAUCUAUCUACGUUCGGUUUAUAUAGCUCGCUGGGCCGGAAUUAUUUCAAAUUGUGCAAUACUGUGACAGCAAUAAAUGCAUGCUUGAUGGGCUGGAAUGAAGCCACCAAAUCAAAACAAAACCAUUAAGAUAUCUUGUAGUAUCUGUAUCCAACAGAUACACUUGUAUCUUGGGCUGCUUUUCAAUGAAUCUCUAUGGGGAUCAGCAUCAGUUGCUUAUGCAAGGUAGUUUAUGAAAUGUUCUGCUCACUUUCAAGCCAACUAUUUGCUUACCAGAGGUAACACCUUUCAGUUGGAAGGUUGCUCCAAUGUCAAAAGCAGAGACACCUCCUUUGCUGCAGCCUGGCUGCUUAGCAUUCCGGUCAGCAGUCGGAUAGAAGCUAUAGAAUGGACGACUCCCAUGCCAAUUUGUUGCUGUGUGCAAGAAUUUCCAACAUGUCCGCAACAAAGGCAACAAACAAUAAAGACAAGUGCAGCAACAAUGGAACGGUAAACGCGCCCAAGAAAACUGAGCAGCUCAUUUAUGGAAAUUAUUAAGUGCAAGCUCGGACCAAAGCGGUUACUUCUCUCCAGUCAAACGGCAUUAUUAUGCGUACAUAUUUUUAUGGGCAAGUGGACGGGAAUGGGCACACAAGCUGCCUGCUCAAGUCUUAAUAACCGAAAGCUAAUUAAAUUUGGGACCCUCUUGAUAAAACUAUUAAAACUGGGCGAGUUGGGAAAUCUUGGAAAAGUGGCCGCCUUAAACGCCACAUGCGUAAAAAAAUAAAAUUCAAAAGAUAUAAAAAAAGUUGCUUAAGCAUUGCAGUGUCUUAACAAAUAUGCUUCAGUAAAUGGGAAUCAUUACCCUGCGAAUAAUUUAAAUUCAAAGAGCAAAUUUGAAUUAUUAAUGCGUUCAACACCUUGCCUAAUUGGCAACACUUACGUUUUCCCUUCUAUUAGUGGGAACCAUGAGAAAACCAAUUCCCAAACCGCAAACCAAUCCCACAGGACGAAGGACCCUAUAUAACCGCCUUUCCCGAGCAAAACUAGCCACAUAACACCUUCAGAAUGGAGCCAGUGCAGUACAGCUACGAGGAUUUCGCCCGAUUACCCACGAUGGUGUUUUGGUUCAUUGGCUACGACAUGCUGGACGUACCAAAGAGUCGCUCCCGCAGGAUACUCAACCGGAUAUAUCGCUUCCUGUGCCUCGCCAGCCAUACGGUCUGUGUGGGCGUUAUGAUAUUUCGCAUGGUGGAGGCGAAGACCAUUGACAAUGUGUCGCUGAUCAUGCGCUACGCCACUCUGGUCACCUAUAUCAUCAACUCGGACACCAAGUUCGCCACCGCCUUGCAAGGCAAUGCCAUCCAAAGCCUCAACUUAAAACUGGCCGAACUAUAUCCGAAAAGCACGCUGGACAGGAUCUAUCACCGGGUGAAUGAUCACUACUGGACCAAGUCAUUUGUAUAUUUGGUUAUUAUUUACAUUGGUUCAUCGAUUAUGGUUGUCAUUGGACCGCUUAUUACAUCGAUUUUAGCCUACUUCACACAAAACGUUUUCACCUACAUGCACUGCUAUCCAUACUUUUUGUACGAUCCUGAGCAGGAUCCGGUUUGGAUCUACAUUGGCAUCUAUGCUCUGGAAUGGCUGCACAGCACACAUAUGGUCAUUUCGAACAUUGGCGCGGAUAUCUGGCUGCUGUACUUUCAGGUGCAGAUUAAUCUGCACUUUAGAGGCAUUAUACGUUCGCUGGAGGAUCACAAGCCCAGUGUGAUGCACGACCAGGAGGACAGGCAAUUCCUUGCGAGAAUUGUGGACAAGCAAGUUCACCUGGUCAGUUUGCAAAACGAUCUGAAUGACAUCUUUGGGGGAUCGCUACUUUUGAGCCUGCUGACCACCGCAGCGGUUAUCUGCACGGUGGCGGUGUACACUCUGAUUCAGGGUGCCACUUUGGAGGGCUUCACCUAUGUGAUCUUCAUCGGGACUUCGGUGACGCAGGUCUACCUGGUGUGCUAUUACGAGCGGCGAGGUGGCCCACGCCGUGUACAAUCAUGAUUUCCACGAUGCCUCUAUUGCCUACAAGAGGUACCUGCUCAUCAUCAUUAUCAGGGCACAGCAGCCGGUGGAACUGAAUGCCAUGGGUUACCUGUCCAUUUCACUGGACACCUUUAAACAGCUGAUGACCGUUUCCUACCGCGUUAUCACCAUGCUCAUGCAGAUGAUUCAGUAGAGAGCAAUAAAGGAAGGAGUUUUCAACUUUGGACGCUUUAAUCGCACUACGCUAGUAACUACGUUUCUAUACAACUAGAUCACUUG